rnacentral:rRNA from 1 species
CCUACGGGGGGCUGCAGUGGGGAAUAUUGCACAAUGGGCGCAAGCCUGAUGCAGCCAUGCCGCGUGUGUGAAGGAGGCCUUCGGGUUGUAAAGCACUUUCAGCGGGGAGGAAGGCGGUGAGGUUAAUAACCUCAUCGAUUGACGUUACCCGCAGAAGAAGCACCGGCUAACUCCGUGCCAGCAGCCGCGGUAAUACGGAGGGUGCAAGCGUUAAUCGGAAUUACUGGGCGUAAAGCGCACGCAGGCGGUCUGUCAAGUCGGAUGUGAAAUCCCCGGGCUCAACCUGGGAACUGCAUUCGAAACUGGCAGGCUAGAGUCUUGUAGAGGGGGGUAGAAUUCCAGGUGUAGCGGUGAACUGCGUAGAGAUCUGGAGGAAUACCGGUGGCGAAGGCGGCCCCCUGGACAAAGACUGACGCUCAGGUGCGAAAGCGUGGGGAGCAAACAGGAUUAGAUACCCCAGUAGUC